GAUGAAGAACGCAGCGAAAUGCGAUAAGUAAUGUGAAUUGCAGAAUUCAGUGAAUCAUCGAAUCUUUGAACGCACAUUGCGCCCGCCAGUAUUCUGGCGGGCAUGCCUGUUCGAGCGUCAUUUCAACCAUCAAGCCCCAGGCUUGUGUUGGGGACCUGCGGCUGCCGCAGGCCCUGAAAACCAGUGGCGGGCUCGCUGUCACACCGGGCGUAGUAGAUUUUAUCUCGCUCAGGGCGUGCUACGGGUUCCGGCCGUUAAAAAGCCUUUUUUACCCAAGGUUGACCUCGGAUCAGGUAGGAAGACCCGCUGAACUUAAGCAUAUCAAUAAGCGGAGGA
rnacentral:misc_RNA from 1 species